rnacentral:rRNA from 1 species
GUGCCAGCAGCCGCGGUAAUACCGGCAGCCCGAGUGAUGGCCGAUCUUAUUGGCCUAAAGCGUCCGUAGCUGGCUGCGCAAGUCCGUCGGGAAAUCCACUCGCCCAACGAGUGGGCGUCCGACGGAAACUGCACAGCUUGGGACCGGAAGGCUCGAAGGGUACGUCCGGGGUAGGAGUGAAAUCCUGUAAUCCCGAACGGACCACCGAUGGCGAAAGCACCUCGAGAAGCCGGAUCCGACGGUGAGGGACGAAAGCUAGGGUCUCGAACCGGAUUAGAUACCCGUGUAGUCC